rnacentral:rRNA from 1 species
CUGGUGUCAGCCGCCGCGGUAAUACCAGCUCUCCGAGUGGUGUGGACGAUUAUUGGGCUUAAAGCGUUCGUAGCCGGCUUAACAAGUCUUCCGUUAAAUCCAACGAUUUAAUCGUUGGUCUGCGGGAGAUACUGUUGGGCUAGGAGGCGGGAGAAGCCGACGGUAUUCUCGGGGUAGGGGUGAAAUCCUGUAAUCCCGGGAGGACCACCAGUGGCGAAGGCGGUCGGCUAGAACGCGCUCGACGGUGAGGGACGAAAGCUGGGGUAGCGAACCGGAUUAGAGACCCGGAUAGUCCCAGCUGUAAACGAUGCGGGCUAGGUGUUGGGGUGGCUACGGGCCACUUCAGUGCCGCAUGGAAGCGAUUACGCCCGCCGCCUGGGGAGUACGGCCGCAAGGCUGAAACUUAAAG